rnacentral:rRNA from 1 species
AAGUCGUAACAAGGUCUCCGUUGGUGAACCAGCGGAGGGAUCAUUACCGAGUUUACAACUCCCAAACCCCUGUGAACAUACCUAUACGUUGCCUCGGCGGAUCAGCCCGCGCCCCGUAAAACGGGACGGCCCGCCCGAGGACCCUAAACUCUGUUUUUAGUGGAACUUCUGAGUAAAACAAACAAAUAAAUCAAAACUUUCAACAACGGAUCUCUUGGUUCUGGCAUCGAUGAAGAACGCAGCAAAAUGCGAUAAGUAAUGUGAAUUGCAGAAUUCAGUGAAUCAUCGAAUCUUUGAACGCACAUUGCGCCCGCCAGUAUUCUGGCGGGCAUGCCUGUUCGAGCGUCAUUUCAACCCUCAAGCUCAGCUUGGUGUUGGGACUCGCGGUAACCCGCGUUCCCCAAAUCGAUUGGCGGUCACGUCGAGCUUCCAUAGCGUAGUAAUAAUACACCUCGUUACUGGUAAUCGUCGCGGCCACGCCGUAAAACCCCAACUUCUGAAUGUUGACCUCGGAUCAGGUAGGAAUACCCGCUGAACUUAA